AGAGAUAGGGCUUUCCCUUCGGGGACAGAGUGACAGGUGGUGCAUGGUUGUCGUCAGCUCGUGUCGUGAGAUGUUGGGUUAAGUCCCGCAACGAGCGCAACCCUUGAUCUUAGUUGCCAGCAUUCAGUUGGGCACUCUAAGGUGACUGCCGGUGACAAACCGGAGGAAGGUGGGGAUGACGUCAAAUCAUCAUGCCCCUUAUGACCUGGGCUACACACGUGCUACAAUGGACAGAACAAAGGGCUGCGAGACCGCAAGGUUUAGCCAAUCCCACAAAUCUGUUCUCAGUUCGGAUCGCAGUCUGCAACUCGACUGCGUGAAGCUGGAAUCGCUAGUAAUCGCGGAUCAGCAUGCCGCGGUGAAUACGUUCCCGGGUCUUGUACACAC
rnacentral:rRNA from 1 species